rnacentral:rRNA from 1 species
CACGUAGGGCGCGAGCGUUGUCCGGAAUUAUUGGGCGUAAAGAGCUCGUAGGCGGCCUGUUGCGUCCGCUGUGAAAGCCCGGGGCUUAACCCCGGGUCGGCAGUGGAUACGGGCAGGCUAGAGGUAGGUAGGGAGAAUGGAAUUCCCGGUGUAGCGGUGAAAUGCGCAGAUAUCGGGAGGAACACCGGUGGCGAAGGCGGUUCUCUGGGCCUUACCUGACGCUGAGGAGCGAAAGCGUGGGGAGCGAACAGG